ACUUUAUUUGAUUUCCUUCGGGACUGAUUAUUUUGUGACUGAGUGGCGGACGGGUGAGUAACGCGUGGGUAACCUGCCUUGUACAGGGGGAUAACAGUUGGAAACGGCUGCUAAUACCGCAUAAGCGCACGGUACCGCAUGGUACAGUGUGAAAAACUCCGGUGGUGUGAGAUGGACCCGCGUCUGAUUAGCUAGUUGGUGAGGUAACGGCCCACCAAGGCGACGAUCAGUAGCCGGCCUGAGAGGGUGAACGGCCACAUUGGAACUGAGACACGGUCCAAACUCC
rnacentral:rRNA from 1 species